UCCCUUAUAAUUUUUAUUGAAUAUGCAUUUGCAUUCAGGUAUCAAAGAUCAAAUUUUUCGUUCAUAGUGUGUUAUUUCGUGUUUUUUUUUUCAAUUGAGAUAAACCUAACAAUUGAUAUUUUACAGUGUGUUUAAGUUGUGAUGUUAUACUAUUGUUUCAGAAAAAGGAGAAGGUUUGGUUCCAUUAAAAAGUUUAAUUCUGCUGCAACUGUUUGCAUCUGUCCUAAUUCAGGAAUCUGAUGUACAGUAGUUGUCGUUUGUUUAUGUAAUUUAUACAAGUUUCUCGUUUCUCGUUUUUUAUAUAGAU
rnacentral:lncRNA from 1 species